GAUGAACGCUGGCGGCGUGCCUAAUACAUGCAAGUCGAGCGAACGGACGAGAAGCUUGCUUCUCUGAUGUUAGCGGCGGACGGGUGAGUAACACGUGGAUAACCUACCUAUAAGACUGGGAUAACUUCGGGAAACCGGAGCUAAUACCGGAUAAUAUUUUGAACCGCAUGGUUCAAAAGUGAAAGACGGUCUUGCUGUCACUUAUAGAUGGAUCCGCGCUGCAUUAGCUAGUUGGUAAGGUAACGGCUUACCAAGGCAACGAUGCAUAGCCGACCUGAGAGGGUGAUCGGCCACACUGGAACUGAGACACGGUCCAGACUCCUACGGGAGGCAGCAGUAGGGAAUCUUCCGCAAUGGGCGAAAGCCUGACGGAGCAACGCCGCGUGAGUGAUGAAGGUCUUCGGAUCGUAAAACUCUGUUAUUAGGGAAGAACAUAUGUGUAAGUAACUGUGCACAUCUUGACGGUACCUAAUCAGAAAGCCACGGCUAACUACCUG
rnacentral:rRNA from 1 species